rfam:Ornithorhynchus anatinus chromosome 6, whole genome shotgun sequence.
AGCAGCGUGGCUCAGUGGAAAGAGCAUGGGCUUGGGAGUCAGAGGUCAUGGGUUCGAAUCCUUGCUCUGCCA